rnacentral:rRNA from 1 species
CUGGGUAAAGGUAUCUUCCCAGGCUUUAACGGAUCCUAAGGUGAGGGUGAAAGCCGUAACCGAUGGAAAACAGGUUAAUAUUCCUGUACUUGUUGUGUAGCGCGAUGGAGGGACGCAGGAAGAUAGGCGGGCCGGGUGUUGGAUAUCCCGGUGCAAGCGUGUAGGAAUAUCCGGUAGGCAAAUCCGCCGGACGAAUCUGAGACGCGAGUCCGUGGGCGCAAGCCCUGAAGCCGUUGAGUCUAUGCUGCCUAGAAAAGCUCCUAAGUUUAUUCACAGCAAUCCGUACCGCAAACCAACUCAGGUGGGUGGGAUGAACAAUCCAAGGCGCUCGAGAGAACUCUGGCCAAGGAACUCGGCAAAAUAACCCCGUAACUUCGGAAGAAGGGGUGCUCUCUAGGGUGACAUGUUUAACAUAUGAAGCCCCGGGGAGCCGCAGUGAAUUGGUGGUGGCGACUGUUUACUAAAAACAUAGGUCUGUGCGAAGUCCUAAAGACGACGUAUACGGACUGACGCCUGCCCGGUGCUGGAAGGUUAAAAGGAGGGGUCAGCGCAAGCAAAGCUCCGAAUUGAAGCCCCAGUAAACGGCGGCCGUAACUAUAACGGUCCUAAGGUAGCGAAAUUCCUUGUCGGGUAAGUUCCGACCUGCACGAAUGGCGUAACGAUCUCCACACUGUCUCGGCCAGAGACUCGGUGAAAUUGCAGUCGCGGUGAAAAUUCCGUGUACCCGCAGAAAGACGGAAAGACCCUGUGCACCUUUACUAUAGCUUGACAUUGGAUUUUGGGCCUGCAUGUGUAGGAUAGGUGGGAGGCUGUGAACCCUGUACGCCAGUAUGGGGGGAGCCAUCCUUGAAAUACCACCCUUGCAUGUUUAAGAUCCUAACUUCUUCCGGUUAUCCCGGAGAAAGACAGUGUCUGGCGGGUAGUUUGACUGGGGCGGUCGCCUCCUAAAGUGUAACGGAGGCAUGCAAAGGUUCCCUCAGCCUGAUCGGAAACCAGGCGCUGAGUGCAAACGCAUAAGGGAGCUUGACUGUAAGAGAGACAUCUCGAACAGGAACGAAAGUUGGCGUUAGUGAUCCGGUGGUCCCGAAUGGAAGGGCCAUCGCUCAUUGGAUAAAAGGUACGCCGGGGAUAACAGGCUGAUCGCAUCCAAGAGUUCACAUCGACGAUGCGGUUUGGCACCUCGAUGUCGGCUCAUCACAUCCUGGGGCUGAAGCAGGUCCCAAGGGUACGGCUGUUCGCCGUUUAAAGUGGUACGCGAGCUGGGUUUAAAACGUCGUGAGACAGUUUGGUCCCUAUCUUCUGUGGGCGAAGGAGAAUUGAGAGGGCCUGUCCCUAGUACGAGAGGACCGGGAUGGACGCACCCCUGGUGAUCCUGUUGUCGCGCCAGCGGCAUAGCAGGGUAGCUAUGUGCGGAAGGGAUAACCGCUGAAAGCAUCUAAGCGGGAAGCCUGCCUCAAGAUAAGUUCUCCCCUCGAAAGAGCUGAAGGGCCCGGGUAGACUACCCGGUCGAUAGGCUGGAGGUGUAAGCGCGGCGACGUGCUCAGCUGACCAGUACUAAUAGCCCGAGCGGCUUAUUU